GUAUUGAUCACCGCCGACUUAGCACCACUAUAAAUAGGUAUUGUGAUCAUAUUUUGGGCAUCAUCCAAAAACUAUAUAAAAGCCAUCCACAAAACCCAUCCACAUUCUCAUGUACACACAAUAUCCCGCUCCACUAUUCACUCUAACUUUCUCCUUUGUGAGUUUGUAACUAACAAUUGUGAGAGUUGUAAUUUUAUCUUUACCCUAUUAAUUUGGGGUACUUGUACUUUCAUAAUUUUAUAUAUUGGAUUUAGGUGCUCGUCAUCUGUGGGUAUUUUUUUUACCUCAUUUUAGAAGGUUUUUCCCAUGUUAAAUUUUGUGUGUCCCUUAUUGCUUUUCUUGCAUUAUUUUUCUUACUAAUUUCUCAAUUUUAUUACGUUUCCGCUACGCUCUUAUACCUAACAAGUGGUAGCAGAGCUAACGAUUUAAUAUGUCGACUGUCACUAAGUUGGACAUCGAGAAAUUUGAUGACAAGAUAAGCUUUAGUAUCUGGAGUAUCUAGAUGAAGGUCGUUCUUACCCAAAAUGGAUUAAAAAAGGCUUUAGAAGGAAAAUCUAAAAAGCUGGCAACAGUGACUAGUGAGAAAUGGGAUCGAAAGAGAUGGAUGAGAAAGCAAUGUUGGCGAUCCAAUUAUGUAUAGCCAAGGAGGUGUUACGCGAGGUCAUCCAUGAAGAUACCAUAGUCGGGCUAUGGUCAAAGUUGGAAUCUCUCUACAUGACCAAGAACCUCGCAAAUAAACUUUGUCUCAAAGAAAGGUUAUACACAAUUCGUAUGGCGGAAGUUGCGGCAUAUGCGCCUUGGCCACAUGAGUGAGAAAGGUAUGGACAUCCUCAGCAAGUGUGGUCUUCUUACACCUGGUACUGGUAAGCUGAAAUUUUGUGAGCAUUGUGUUUAUGAGAAACAAAAGAAAGUAAGUUUCUCUACAACUCCUCACAGUACCGAAGCUAUUUUUGAUUAUAUUCAUUCUGAUUUAUGGGACCUUCAAGAGUCACAUCUUAUUGUGGAAAACGUUAUAUGAUGACCAUUAUUGAUGACUUUUCUCGUAAAGUAUGGACCCAUUUCUUAAGAAAGAAAAAUGAUGCCUUCCCUACUUUCAAAAAGUGGAAGGCUCUUGUUGAGAAUCAGACUGGCAGAAAAGUCAAGAAGCUCAGGACUGAUCGCGGCUUGGAGUUUUGUGAUUGUGAAUUUAAAGAGUUCUGCGUACAAGCCGGUAUUUCUAGACACAAAACAUUACUCGGCAAGGCUCAACAGAAUGGUGUAGCAGAUGGUAUGAAGUAUAAACAUAACUCUUCUCGAGAGAGCUCGUUGUAUGCUCUCUAAUGCUGGAUUGUGGCAUCGCCGUGACUUGUGGACAGAAGCUGUCUCCAUGGCUGCUUAUAUUGUCAACCGUUCUCCACUCUCUUCUAUUGACUUCAAAAUUGCAGAGGAAGUAUGGUCAGGAAUAGCUGUUGACUAUUCUUCUCUUAAAGUAUUUGGUUGUACCGCUUAUGCUCCUAUCAAUGAUGGGAAAUUUGCUUCAAGAGCUGUGAAAUGAAUUUUCAUUGGUUAUUCAUCUGAAUCUAAAGGUUAUAGAUUAUGGUGUAAGUCUUGAGUCAAAGAAAA